ACAAUGGAGAGUUUGAUCCUGGCUCAGGAUGAACGCUAGCGGCAGGCCUAACACAUGCAAGUCGAGGGGCAGCACGGUGUAGCAAUACACUGG
rnacentral:rRNA from 1 species